UUAGAGUUUGAUCCUGGGUCAGAACGAACGCUGGCGGCAGGCUUAACACAUGCAAGUCGAGCGCCCCGCAAGGGGAGCGGCAGACGGGUGAGUAACGCGUGGGAAUCUACCCAUCUCUACGGAAUAACGCAUGGAAGCGUGUGCUAAUACCGUAUACGUCCUUCGGGAGAAAGAUUUAUCGGAGAUGGAUGAGCCCGCGUUGGAUUAGCUAGUUGGUGGGGUAAAGGCCUACCAAGGCGACGAUCCAUAGCUGGUCUGAGAGGAUGAUCAGCCACACUGGGACUGAGACACGGCCCAGACUCCUACGGGAGGCAGCAGUGGGGAAUAUUGGACAAUGGGCGCAAGCCUGAUCCAGCCAUGCCGCGUGAGUGAUGAAGGCCCUAGGGUUGUAAAGCUCUUUCACCGGUGAAGAUAAUGACGGUAACCGGAGAAGAAGCCCCGGCUAACUUCGUGCCAGCAGCCGCGGUAAU
rnacentral:rRNA from 1 species